AAGGUUCUAGUAAAUCAAUUACAUCACUUUGUCGAAGUAAAAUAGUGGGUUAAAUACCCACGAACCUUU
rnacentral:tRNA from 1 species